rnacentral:rRNA from 1 species
ACGUAGGUGACGAGCGUUGUCCGGAUUUACUGGGCGUAAAGAGCGCGCAGGCGGUCGUUCAAGUCGAGUGUGAAAGCCCCGGGCUCAACCUGGGAACUGCAUUCGAUACUGGGCGGCUAGAGUAUGAGAGAGGGAGGUAGAAUUCCACGUGUAGCGGUGAAUGCGUAGAUAUGUGGAGGAAUACCGGUGGCGAAGGCGGCCUCCUGGUUCAAUACUGACGCUGAGGUGCGAAAGCGUGGGGAGCAAACAGGA